rnacentral:lncRNA from 1 species
UGUCCCUAAAAGAGAAAAUCAUUAAAUGAUCUCUGUGCUGUGUGAGCCAGGUAGCUAAAGUAAGGUAACACGUAACAAUUUGAGGACUCAAACCCCGAAAUUUGCGAUCUGAGACUUGACUCAAGCUGAGAAGAGAUAAUUGGGAUUUCACUUGAGACCAUCCUUAUUUGAAACUUGAAAAUUCAUGACCUGUUUAUUAUUACCUGAUUGUGACUUAUCCCCUGACAUGACAGAAAAUGCUUCAGGAAAGGUUCUAUGUUUGUAUGAAAGGUUAACGUAGCACCAAAACCUGUCACACAUUUGAGUGUGACAGGUGUUCAGUGAUACAUAAACAUUUCAAAAAUCUUCCAACAUUCCUCCCUCCUCUUCCAUUGACUAUGGUGUCUUUCAUUUCAACUGCACACACCUUUCCUCAUAUUUACCCCACCCACCGCAAGCAAACUCUGGCAGUAUAAAUGUCCAGGUCUUUGAUUCAGGCUUUAGUACUAUUGUCACUGUCUGUACCAAGAAAAGGAGCUGUUGAUUUUGCUUUUAAGUGCUUCUGAAUAGAAAAGGAUAUUUUUGUUUGGGAUCAAGUUUAAGGGAUCACUUGUCAAGAUGAACAAAAUCAUUUUUGGAGUUCUAGCGGUUGUAGGAUCUUUCAUGCUGGGUAGUGCUCGCCAGAACAUACCUACCUGGACAAAAGAACAUACACCAGCCAACAACCAUAUAUAAGCUGGCAGGCAUCUGACCAAUCAACUGUAGUUGCCAGAGUGCGUGAGUUUGGUCUUCUACUCACUUGCACCUGCUGUGGAUUUGAUGCAAUGAAGAAACACCAUAAUCACAAAAUUAAAAGGGUACAUCAUAACAAAAUGAACUAGCAAUGAACUCGCAGCAUGUAAUGUGAAAAAUAAAAUGUAUAUAUUAUUAUCCUAGUAUUAAGUUUCACUUUUUCAGGUGAAUUGAGUAAAACAAACAAAUGAGUGAAAUGUUCAAAGCACA